AUUGAACGCUGGCGGCAGGCUUAACACAUGCAAGUCGAGCGGAGAUGAGGUGCUUGCACCUUAUCUUAGCGGCGGACGGGUGAGUAAUGCUUAGGAAUCUGCCUAUUAGUGGGGGACAACAUUCCGAAAGGAAUGCUAAUACCGCAUACGUCCUACGGGAGAAAGCAGGGGAUCUUCGGACCUUGUGCUAAUAGAUGAGCCUAAGUCGGAUUAGCUAGUUGGUGGGGUAAAGGCAUACCAAGGCGACGAUCUGUAGAGGGUCUGAGAGGAUGAUCCGCCACACUGGGGCUGAGACACGGCCCAGACUCCUACGGGAGGCAGCAGUGGGGAAUAUUGGACAAUGGGGGAAACCCUGAUCCAGCCAUGCCGCGUGUGUGAAGAAGGCCUUAUGGUUGUAAAGCACUUUAAGCGAGGAGGAGGCUACUGAGACUAAUACUCUUGGAUAGUGGACGUUACUCGCAGAAUAAGCACCGGCUAACUCUGUGCCAGCCGCCGCCGUAA
rnacentral:rRNA from 1 species